UACGGAGGGGGCCAGCGUUGUUCGGAAUCAUUGGGCGUAAAGGGCGCGUAGGCGGCCAAUCAAGUCCGACGUGAAAUUCCCCGGCUCAACCGGGGGCCUGCGUCGGAUACUGCUUGGCUUGAGUCCCGGAGAGGGUAGUGGAAUUCCCAGUGUAGCGGUGAAAUGCGUAGAUACUGGGAGGAACACCGGUGGCGAAGGCGGCUACCUGGACGGGUACUGACGCUGAGGCGCGAAAGCUAGGGUAGCAAACAGG
rnacentral:rRNA from 1 species